GGGGAAUAUUGCACAAUGGGGGAAACCCUGAUGCAGCAACGCCGCGUGAAGGAUGAAGGUUUUCGGAUUGUAAACUUCUUUAGUCAGGGACGAAUAAAUGACGGUACCUGAAGAAUAAGCCACGGCUAACUACGUGCCAGCAGCCGCGGUAAUACGUAGGUGGCGAGCGUUGUCCGGAAUUACUGGGUGUAAAGGGCGUGUAGGCGGGAAUGUAAGUCAGAUGUGAAAUCCCAGGGCUUAACUCUGGAGCUGCAUCUGAAACUGCAAGGCUAGAGUAUGGGAGAGGUAGGUGGAAUUCUCGGUGUAGGGGUAAAAUCCGUAGAGAUCGAGAGGAAUACUCAUUGCGAAGGCGACCUGCUGGAACAUUACUGACGCUGAGGUGCGAAAGCGUGGGGAGCAAACA
rnacentral:rRNA from 1 species